ACCGCCCUAGUUCUGACCGUAAACUAUGCCAUCUAGCGAUCCGAUGGGGUAUUGUUGCCUUGUCGAGGAGCUUCCCGGAAACGAAAGUCUUUCGGUUCCUGGGGUAGUAUGGUUGCAAAGCUGAAACUUAAAGAAAUUGACGGAAUGGCACCACCAGGAGUGGAGCCUGCGGCUUAAUUUGACUCAACACGGGAAAACUCACCCGGCCCGGACACCGUAAGGAUUGACAGAUUGAAAGCUCUUUCUCGAUUUGGUGGUUGGUGGUGCAUGGCCGUUCUUAGUUGGUGGAGCGAUUUGUCUGGUUUAUUCCGAUAACGAGCGAGACUCUAGCCUGCUAAAUAGUGGCUGGAUUUUCACGUCCAGUCUACUUCUUAGAGGGAUAAGCGGUGUUUAGCCGCACGAGAUUGAGCGAUAACAGGUCUGUGAUGCCCUUAGAUGUCCGGGGCUGCACGCGCGCUACAAUGGAAGAAUCAGCUGGCCUAUCCAUUGCCGAAAGGCAUUGGUAAACCGUUGAAACUCUUCCGUGACCGGGAUAGGGAAUUGUAAUUAUUUCCCUUGAACGAGGAAUUCCUAGUAAGUGUGAGUCAUCAGCUCACGCUGAUUACGUC
rnacentral:rRNA from 1 species